GCAUCUAACUAUUGACAAUACAUCUAAUAAAAUUGGAACGAUACAGAGACGAUUAGCACUGCCUUUGUGCAAGGACUCAUAAAUUGAGAAAUGGUCCAAAUUUAU